GAUGAAGAACGUAGCGAAAUGCGAUAAGUAGUGUGAAUUGCAGAAUUCAGUGAAUCAUCGAAUCUUUGAACGCACAUUGCGCCCCUUGGUAUUCCAUGGGGCAUGCCUGUUCGAGCGUCAUUUGUACCUUCAAGCUAUGCUUGGUGUUGGGUGUUUGUCCACUCCACUGCGUGUGGACUCGCCUUAAAGCAAUUGGCAGCCUAUAUUUGGUUUUAAGCGCAGCACAUCUUGCGUCUUACUGCCAGUUAUAUAGGCACCCAUUAAGCCUUUUUAUCACGUUUGACCUCGGAUCAGGUAGGGAUACCCGCUGAACUUAAGCAUAUCAAUAAGCGGAGGA
rnacentral:misc_RNA from 1 species